rnacentral:rRNA from 1 species
AACGAACGCUGGCGGCAUGCCUAACACAUGCAAGUCGAACGAUCCCUCCGGGGGUUUUGUCGCACGGGUGCGUCACGCGUGGGAACCUUCCCUUAUGUUCGGCAUACCUCAGAGACUUUUGUACUAAUACCGGAUAAUGUCUUCUGACCAAGAAUUUAUUGCCUUUGGUUGUGCCCGCGUUGGAUUAGCUUGUUGUUUGGGUAAUGGCCUACCACGGCGCCGAUCCAUAGCUGGGAUGAGAGAAUGGUCAGCGACACUGGGAGUGAGAAACGGCCCAGAAUCCUACGGGAGGGAGGAGAGGGGGAUAGUGGAAAAUGGGGGGAAGGAUGAAGCAGUAAGGACGGGUAAGUGAUGAAGGCAUGAGGGUUGUAAAGUGUUUGUAACCGGGAAGAUAAUGACAGUACCGGGAGAAAAAGCCACGGCUAACUACGUG